rnacentral:rRNA from 1 species
CGGACGGGUGAGUAAUGUAUGGGGAUCUGCCUGAUGGCGGGGGAUAACUACUGGAAACGGUAGCUAAUACCGCAUAAUGUCUACGGACCAAAGCGGGGGACCUCCGGGCCUCGCGCCAUCAGAUGAACCCAUAUGGGAUUAGCUAGUAGGUAAGGUAACGGCUUACCUAGGCGACGAUCCCUAGCUGGUCUGAGAGGAUGAUCAGCCACACUGGGACUGAGACACGGCCCAG